GGCGAGAUGGCCGAGCGGUCUAAGGCGUCAGACUAAGGUGUUCGAGAGCACCAGAUUAUCUGAUCUCUUCGGGGGCGUGGGUUCAAAUCCCACUCUCGUCA
rfam:Stereum hirsutum FP-91666 SS1 unplaced genomic scaffold STEHIscaffold_19, whole genome shotgun sequence.